GGAGUCCUCAGCACAGGCAGGGACCUGUUGGAGCAUGGCCAGAGGAGGCCACAGCAAUGCUGGCAGGGCUGGAAGGGCUCUGCUGGGAGGCCAGGCUGAGUUGGGCUUGCUCAGCCUGGAGAAGAGAAAGCUGCAGGGAGAACUUGGAGCAGCCUGCCAGUGUUUGAAGUGGCCUACUGGAGAGCUGGGGAGGGACUCUUUACAAAGGCAGGGAGUGACAGGACAAGAAGUGAUGGCUUCAGACUGCAAGAAUCUGGAUUUAGGUAAGACAUUAGGAAGAAAUUCCUCCCUGUGAGGGUGGCAAGGCACUGGAACAGCCUGCCCAGAGGCUGUUUUGGAGGCUCCAAGCCUGGAUGUGUUCAAAGCCAGGUUAAAUGGGACCUUGAGCAACCUGGCCUAGUAGAAGGUGUCCCUACCUAUGGCAGAGGAUUUGAACUGGAUGAACUUUGAGGUCCCUUCCACCCCAAACCAUUUUGUCUUUCUAUGAAACCAGGACAGGGUGGGAGUUCUUCACAAAGCCAGCGUGCAAACAUCACAGACAAGCUGAGCCACCAGCUUCCACGAGUUAAAACAUGAACAAAUGGCUCCAUCACCUCCUUCCCCAGGGCUUUGCUACCCUUCUGCUGGCUGGUCAUGGAUCCAGGCACUUGGCCUUGGCAUGCUGUUGCAGAAGGAAGUGGAUUGGGAGGUCCUGCAGGCAUCUAGGAGCACUAGGAGAGGACAGCUGGUGGUGGCAUCUGUUUUGGGUGCCCCCAGUGUCUGUCUUUGCUCUGGUGAGACCUCACUUGCAGUACUGUGUCCAGCUCUAGAGCCCUCAAUAUAGGAAGGACAUGGACCUGAUGGAGCAGGUCCAGAUGAGGGCCACAGAAAUGAUCCGGGGAUUGAAGCAGCUCUGCUACAAGGACAGGCUGAGGGAGCUGGGGGUGUUCAGCCUGGAGUUAAGGAGGCUCCAUGGAGAACCUAACAGCAGCCUGCCAGUACCUGAAGGAGGCUACAAGAAGGCUGGAGAGAGACUGGUUACAAAAGCCUGCAGGAACAGGAUGAGGGCAGUGGCUUCAAACUAGAGAAGAGCAGAUUUAGAUUGGAUGUUAGGAACAGCUUCUGCACCAUGAAGGUGGUGGAACACUGGAACAGGUUGCCCAGGGAAGUGGUUGUGGUCCCAUCCCUGAAGCCAAGGUGAGUCUGGACAGGGCUGUGGGCAACCUGAUGUCAUUGAGGAUGUCCCUGCUGACUGCAAGAGGGUUGGGCUGGAUGACCUUUGGAGUUCCUUUCCAGCCCAGACUAUUCUGUGAGUCUCUGAAACACCCCUGGCUGGAAGGAUUGAGGCUGCCAGGUCUCCUCCCUGUUCUGAGCUCAAGCUGGAGGGGCAAAGACAAGUGUGUGCAGCUGUCCAGGCUUGAGGAGCAAUCUGAAACAUAAAGAACAGCCUCAUUCAUGGAGAGCUGAGGUGAAGGCACUGGCACAGGCUGCCCAGGGAGGUGGAGUCCCCAUCCCUGGAGAUGAUCAAGAACUAUGUGGCUGUGGCACAGUGGGACAUGGUUCGAUGGCCAUGGUGGUGGUGUGUUGAUGGUUGGAGUGGAUGAUCUUAGAGGUCUCUUCCAACCCAAACAAUUCUGUGAUAAAGGUGAGGGUGCCUUAAUUGCUGAUGUGGCCCCAGAGAUGGCAAAUGAUGUCCUCUCACUCAUGAGCUAUCUCAGGAGAGCGUCAGGAGGACUGGACUCUGCACAGUGAGCUUAUAGUGCCACCAGUGGUGAAGAUCUCCUGGCUGCAGUGGAAGGGUGGUGCUGGGACUCAGAUCUUAUAGACCUGCUGCUAAGACUCGCACUCUGCUGGGCACUGGUGAGGACACAGCUUGAGUACUGGGCUCAGAUUUGGUCCCCUCACUCCGAGAAGGACAUUGAGGGGCUGGAGCAGGUCCAGAGGAAGGUAAUGAAGCUGCUGAAGGGCCUGGAGAACAGCGCUGAGGAGGAGCAGCUGAGGGAACUGGGGGUGUUUAGUCUGGAGAAGAGGCUGAGGGGAGACCUCAUUGCUCUCUACAGCUCCCUGAAAGGAGGUUGGAGCCAGGUAGGGGUUGGGCUCUUCUCCCUGGUAUCAUCUGAUACAAAGAGGAAAUCAUAGAAUCAAGCAGGUUGGAAGAGACCUCCAAGCUCAGCCAGUCCAACCUAGCACCCAGCCCUGCCCAAUCAACCAGACCAUGGCACCAAGUGCCCCAGCCAGGCUUGGCUUCAACACCUCCAGGGGCAACAACUCCACCACCUCCCUGGGCAGCCCAAUGGCCUCAAGUUGCCCCAGGGGAGUUUUAGGUUGGAGAAGAGGAGCAACUUCUUCCACAAAAGGGUUAUCAAGGCCUGCAGAGAGCUGCCCAGGGCAGUGGUGGAGUCUCCAUUGCUGGAGGGGUUUCAAGGCUGUGCAGAUGCAGUGCUGAGGGCCAUGGUUUAGGGGUGACCUGGCAGUGCUGGGUUCAUGGCUGGAUUGGAUGGCCCAAAAGGUCUCUUCCAACCCAAACCACUCAGAUUCUAUGAAAGGAGAGAUCUCAUCAGACCCUCUGCUCUUGGGCUGCAUCUCAGGGGCGCUGGACACAGCCUCACAUGAGCUGAUCUCAGAAGGUCCAAGAUGUGUAUUCACAUGGAACAAGGUGGGGAGCUGAAGAGAAGCUGGGCAGGGCCAGUGAAGCCCCAGCCCACUGGCAUUUUUUGGGGUGGUCUCCCCACACCUAACAGAGCUGGUGUAACCUGCAAGCAGCCAGGAGGUGCUGUGUGCCCAGGGGAGGUGGAUGAGCACCAGCAGUGUGUUUCCACGCUCCUGCGGUAUCCACGUCCACGUGGAACGACGCCCAGCCAGGAGCAUUCCUCCUGAGCUGGGAACCCACAUUUCAACUCAACUUGUAAGAGUAGACUGUAGAUAAAGCAUUACAGAUUCUAGAUGUCCUAAGAGGUCCUCCUACGAGGUCUUGAGGUUCUCCUUGCUGUACAUUCAGAUAUUUAUACACUUUUGUAGAGUUAAAAUAAACUGGUUUAGUUUUC